rfam:Salmo salar isolate Sally breed double haploid chromosome ssa20, whole genome shotgun sequence.
UGUAUUCACUACUGUAAGUCGCUCUAGAUAAGAGCAUCUGCUAAAUGACUAAAA